UGACGCCCAGCCCCCGAGAAGCGAGGUGACAUCUUACCCAGUAACUCAGGCACCUUCCUCCAUUCUGGGGGGCUAGGCACGAAAGGGGAAAGAGCAGCAUCUUCCCGGAGCACCCACCCCCUGCCCUUGUCUCUUUCUGUGGAUGGAUGAAUAACAUUUGGGGAGGGGGCUCGGGGCGGAAAUCCUGGGUCAGGGAAAAGACUGGGGGCGGCUUGGAUUCCUGGGCUCUGAGGGGAGGGGGCUGGACAGAGAUGGGAUGAGAGGGGUGGGGCAGGGUAAUGCAUCUGCUAAAGGCCUAGGCUCUUAGAGGGGAAACCCGGGUUUUAAUCUUAGCUCCUUCUUUGUGAUCUGGGGCACAGAUGGGCACUUCUCUGAGCCCCCUUCUCCGUGUGCAGAAUGAAUAUCCAGCCCUUCUCCCUGACUCGAACUUCGUAGAUCCCAGGAGCGCCUACACCCGCUCUACUCGCUCCUGGAAGAAUUUGUGUUGCCGGUUAGGACCGCAGACUCUGGAACUAAAAGGCCUGGGCUUCAACCCGCGCUCAGCUGCCAGCUGUCUGACCUUGGCCCAAUGAUCUAGCCUCUCUGAACAUCCUACUUCUUGGUCCACAAAACCAGGGGAAAUAGUUGCACCCACGCCGUCAUUUGUUGAUGCAACAAGCCACGGCAUGCAUGAAAUACGGGGAGUUCCUGGUACACAGCAGGGCUCGUCGCGGUGACCCACAGCGAGCUCGGUCACCUUCCCAGCAGCCUGUUCUUGAAUCCUGUUUCACAGAGAACCCCAAGCUGAGUGGACGUGGAUGAAGCCACACGUCUCUCGAGGUGCUGGAAUCCUGGCGUGGCUUCUGAAAGCGCUGACCUUCCGACCAUCCUCUGCCCCUUUUGGAAGCCGAAGGGCCCGCGGAGUCCCAGCUUGUGCCCCAAUCCCUGCACGGACACAUUGUCCCUGUGGCUUCGGCUGGCAGGCACAGUCUUCUGUGGCCACUCCGGCCAGGCCAAGCCGGGGUGAGUGACCACAAGAGCGAGCCCUCCCGGCGGGGGAAGGCCUGUGAUGUGCCGGCAGGAGUCACACAAGUCACGGGGAGGAUGUGUGAUCUCAGGCCAGGCGGGGGCUCCCUCGCCGUCGGCUGGCUUCCAGCCUCCGCCCCGCGGCGCCCCCUGCUGGCCACUGUAAGGUCCGUCUGGGCGGACCGGGCAAGAGGGGCUACACGGAGGAAAACAGAGGCCUCCUAUUCCACUUUUUUUCAUGUAUAUUUUUUGUUGGCUUUUUUUUUUUUUCUGUAAAAUGUCCCGGUUCUUCCAUAACUUAUAAACAUGAUUUAUACUGAGGGAUGGGUGGGGAAGUGGGCGGGGGCAGACUGACAGGGGAUGGGGAAGCUCCUCUUCUCGCUGCCCCCUCAGGGCCGGGCCCAGGGCCCUUCGGGGGACUGGGACGCCCCAACACCUCCCUGAGGUUGUCUGGCGACCUCUGCCCCUGGUGCUCAGAAUCUGGCGUGCCCCUCGAUUCUGGAAUCCCUCCCGGGACUCCAGGCCCGUGGGCACCCUGCCUCUGGUGCUCCGAAUCCUGAAGCGCCCGUGGUUCUAGGAUCCCCUCUCAGCUGCUGGGGUGAUGGGUCCCCUCCUUUCCGCUGCCCCCCUGGCCCCCGAGGAGGGAGGGAAGGGAGGGGGAGGAGGGCUCAGGUCUCCCCUCCGUGGCAGGGGGAGGGGGAGGUGGGAUCUGAAGGAGGAAGGGUGGAAGGCGGGGGGGCCAGCAGGGGCUCAGCCGAUGGUGAGGCCAAAGCCGCACUGGAACUUGUUCUUUCGGUGAUUCAGGAAGGCCCCGAGGGCCAACGUCAGGGGUAGGGGCGGGAGCUUCUUCUCCAGUGUGGCGCCCACAAUCCAGUUGCUGUCCAUGGAGCCUGCAGGUAGACGGCUGGGUUGAGAGCCAACUUCCCAUCCUGUCCCCAAAGAGUCGCGCUCCAGGCCACCUCAGAUACCACCAGCCGGACUGUCGGCUUCUAGAUCUCUGCCCACACUGUUCCCACCACCCGGAGACCUCUUCUCGAACCCCAAGUUCUCCAAGCCCAGGAACAAUUGGCUUAGUUGUCCUCUCCCACGCUCCCCCCCCCACUCCAGGCAGCCCUCUGCCCCACCCCCAACCGUGAGCCUUGGGAGGACGGUGCCCGGCCACCGCUCUGUCCCCAGCACCCUGGCACAAAGGCUGGCCUCAGAGCAGCUGCUCAAAUCUGCUGAACGAGAGACUGAGCCCUACGCGUGUGCAAGCGUGUGAGGCUAUCCCUACACCGUGCGAAGGGCCAGUUGCUCAUCUCACAGGAGCGGAGGGCAGCGCAGUGGGAACGCAAGCCCGGCCUCGGAGAGCAGGCUGACUGCAGAGAGAGGGGUCAAGGGGCAGGCACAGGAGGUAGGCUUCAGAGGCAAAUAAACCCCUGGGCCUCGGAAAAGCCCUGCCCGGGGCUGAAGGAAGCGGCUUUGCGGGGUGGUCUUCACAUACCGCCAACCUGAGAACCACUGAGGUCCGAGGGGAAAGACUUAAGACUUAGCGUCAGGACCAGUCAGCCCGGGAGGAGGCUCUGGACGGGGCUGUGACCGUGCACCUGAGGGAACCUGUCCCCACUCACGUCAGAGGAGCGGGGUGGCCCCGAUGCACUCCGAGUCGCCUCCCGCUUGUGAGAAAACAAAGAAGAGGACCAGGAGUGCCAAGCUCAGGUCUCCACCAGCUUAACAAGAGUCUCCAGGGAAUUUGGAGGCACCCUCCCCCGCCCCCUCCCCAAAGUGCCAGCACGCUGCCCUCCACCGACUCUUUUGGCCUACACACCCGCCCCGGGCCCAGUCACCUGUCACCUGUUUUCCAAGUAUGGAAACUGAGGCCUGUACCUUUGAAGAGGAGGUUGGCCUUGGGCAGGUCCAGCUGGUACCCGAAGGAGACACUGGUGUCCUGCAUCCUUGUGCUGGCCUCGAACUCCACGCCCACCUGUAGCUGGAGGGGCCAGGGCAACACGCAGACACUCAGCCUCCCGGGCCGGACUCCCGGGCACACGGGCCCCUGGCAGCCCGCGCCUGCAAAGUGCGCCCUCGCAGUCGGUCCCUGGACCAGCUCACCUGGUCGCUGGCUUUGUGGUAGUACGUCGCGUGCAUGCCCGCCUGGCCCAACGUCACUGUCGCCAACCAGUUGUUCACUGUAAGACAGCAGGGUGGAGGGUGGGGCGGACCACCAAGGGGGCUUGGAAGGCAGGCCCGUCUUCUCUCUCCUCCCUCAGACCCGGGCCCCUGGCCCCCGGCCCUGACCCCUGCCGUCAGGCCCCAGGCUCACGUGUGUAUUUCCCAGCUAGAGACAUGACCGUGCCUUCCUCCCCGGGCCGCCGGUGGUAGACCAGCUCUCCACCCAGGGCCAGACACGGCGUGAUGCUCUGCAGGUAGUGGGCCACGAGGAUACCUGCGGGUGAGAUGGGGGAGGGGUCACCUGGGCUUGGUGGUCAGCUUCCGCCCAGCCAAGGUGCCAGGCCAGACUCCCACUCCAGGGAGCUUUCCAGGUUCGCCCCUGCUGGAGGCGCAGGGCCUGCCCUCAGGCCUCCCGCGCCCCGUGGGACCUCAUCAGGUCUGUACCGCCUGACGAGGCUGGCGUUCACCUGCCAGUCUAUUUACAGAGGAGUCCACGGAGGCUAAGGAAGUAAGUCACUGAUCCGUGGUCACAAGGGACAGCCCUGAGACCCCUAUUGAGCGCUGGCCAGCAGGCGACCGCCCCCUGGUGGGCGGAAAUUCUCGGAGCCAGAGGACUGGCGCCUGGGGGAGUAGACACUGCAAACCAGGACCACGCACACGCUGUCCUUCCUGCCCGUACUGCCCCUGAUGAGUCUGGCCAACUACAUACUCGCACCUAAGUGUUUCCUGGAGCAGGUUACUUCUCUCCAGCACACUCCCUGAUCAGAGUCACGGUCACCAGAGGACCAUGGCAGUCGCCCUGUCCUAGCCUCCCUGCUUUCACCUUGGCCCAUGCCUGCAGUUGGCAGGUAUACGCUGAGAACUAUGGUCAGAACACGGUCUCCACUGCUCGUCUCGCUCCAACAGAUCCUGCCUAGUUUCCAUACUUCGCUCCAUUCUCUCUGCUCCCCAAGCACAUUCCCUGGGCCGCUUCAUCCCGGGGCUGCCCGGCUUGCAGAUCUUCACCAGCUUCACCCCUUCCCCCAUCUCUGUCUCCCAAACUCAGCCUGUGCCUCCCGCUUGCAUCCAGACCCAGUUCCCCUAAGGCACCGGGUGCCCCGAGGCAGGGCCUUCGCCAGAAUGAGUGGUUCUCAACCAGGGGCCAUUCUGCAGUGUCUGGAGUGGCCGGGAAGGGUCUCGGGAGUCCAAAACCCCAUGAGAAGGAAAGAAACUGAGUUAGACCUGUGAGCAAAGAGGUGGCCUUGGCCAACGGGCAGAGCCAGGCCAACCUGGGCAAGAGUCAGGUGUCCAGUUUUGCCUCCCCAACCUGCUGGGCAGGGAGCCAGGGACAGAUGGGGCAGGAGGAAGGCUUGGGCUGACUCCCCCCGCCCCCGCCUUUCCCCUGCUUGCCUGGGACCCACACACACCAGGAGUCCUUGGCCAAGUCCCCCAUGGGGCAGGAAGGGCAGACACCCCAGAGCAGAUGGGCAGGUAAGGGCAGCACCCGGAAGGAACGCAGUUCUCGGCCCCAGCCAGUCUGCUCCCCACGCUCUGUGCUCCGUAGGCCUCAGAAGCAGUGCCCUCCUCACCCUCCUUUGACUAAACACCAUUUUAGAGAAGCUGUUCCGGUCACUUUAGGUGAAACGGAGUGUGUAUGUGUGUAGGGGGGAGUGGUAGUUACAAGCUUUCGUGGCAACCUGAACUUUUUCCGGGUUGAGUUUUUCCCAACAGUAAUGAAGUCACUGUGUGGUUAUUUGUUUUAAAAGCAAAUGUCGGGGGGCCCGGGUGGCUCAGUCGGUUCAGCAUCUGACUUCGGCUCAGGUCAUGACCUUAGUUUGUGAGUUCGAGCCCCGCGUCGGGUUCUGCGCUGACAGCUCAGAGCCUGGAGCCUGCCUCGGAUUCUGCGUCCCCGCCCCUCCCCUGCUUGCGCUCUCUCAAAAAUAAACAUAAAAAAAA